rnacentral:rRNA from 1 species
GAUGAACGCUGGCGGCGUGCCUAAUACAUGCAAGUCGAGCGGACGGACGAGACGCUUGCUUUUCUGAUGUUAGCGGCGGACGGGUGAGUAACACGUGGAUAACCUACCUAUAAGACUGGGAUAACUUCGGGAAACCGGAGCUAAUACCGGAUAAUAUUUUGAACCGCAUGGUUCAAAAGUGAAAGACGGUCUUGCUGUCACUUAUAGAUGGAUCCGCGCUGCAUUAGCUAGUUGGUAAGGUAACGGCUUACCAAGGCAACGAUGCAUAGCCGACCUGAGAGGGUGAUAGGCCACACUGGAACUGAGACACGGUCCAGACUCCUACGGGAGGCAGCAGUAGGGAAUCUUCCGCAAUGGGCGAAAGCCUGACGGAGCAACGCCGCGUGAGUGAUGAAGGUCUUCGGAUCGUAAAACUCUGUUAUUAGGGAAGAACAGAUGUGUAAGUAACUGUGCACAUCUUGACGGUACCUAAUCAGAAAGCCACGGCUAACUACGUG